rnacentral:rRNA from 1 species
GAUGAACGCUGGCGGCGUGCCUAAUACAUGCCAGUCGAGCGAACAGACGAGGAGCUUGCUCCUCUGACGUUAGUGGCGGACGGGUGAGUAACACGUGGAUAACCUACCUAUAAGACUGGGAUAACUUCGGGAAACCGGAGCUAAUACCGGAUAAUAUAUUGAACCGCAUGGUUCAAUAGUGAAAGACGGUUUUGCUGUCACUUAUAGAUGGAUCCGCGCCGCAUUAGCUAGUUGGUAAGGUAACGGCUUACCAAGGCGACGAUGCGUAGCCGACCUGAGAGGGUGAUCGGCCACACUGGAACUGAGACACGGUCCAGACUCCUACGGGAGGCAGCAGUAGGGAAUCUUCCGCAAUGGGCGAAAGCCUGACGGAGCAACGCCGCGUGAGUGAUGAAGGUCUUCGGAUCGUAAAACUCUGUUAUUAGGGAAGAACAAAUGUGUAAGUAACUAUGCACGUCUUGACGGUACCUAAUCAGAAAGCCACGGCUAACUACGUG